rnacentral:ncRNA from 2 species
GGCAAUAACAGGUCUGUGAUGC